GCGCUUUCACCGCCGCGGCCCGGGUUCAAUUCCCGGUCAGGGAAAUGAGAUUUAGAGUUUGGAAUUUACAGAUCCAACUUUUAAUUCAAGCCAAACUGCAGAUGUUAUGGAAUUCCAGAUCCAACUUUUAAUUCAAGCCAAACUGCAGAUGUUUUUAAGUUUUCGACUUAAAUUAAGACUUCAUUGGCAUCAUCAUAGUCCCUGAUGGUCUAGUGGCUAGGAUUUGGCGCUUUCACCGUCGCGGCCCGGGUUCAAUUUCCGGUCAGGGAAAUGAGAUUUGGAGUUUGGAAUUCCAGAUCCAACUUUUAAUUCAAGCCAAACUGCAGAUGUUUUUAAACCAUUCGACUUAAACUAUGACUUCAUUUGCAUAAUUGUGUCCCUGAUGGUCUAGUGGCUAGGAUUUGGCGCUUUCACCGCCGCGGCCCGGGUUCAAUUCCCGGUCACGGAAAUGAGAUUUAGAGUUUGGAAUUCCGGAUCCAACUUUUAAUUCAAGCCAAAUUGCAGAUGUUAUGGAAUUCCCGAACCCACUUUUAAUUCAAGACAAACUGCAGAUGUUUUUAAAGUUUUCGACUUCUUUUAAGACUUCAUUUGCAUAAUUGUGUCCCUGAUGGUCUAGUGGCUAGGAUUUGGCGCUUUCACAAAUGUGGCCCGGGUUCAAUUUCCGGUCAGGGAAGUCAGAUAUAAAGUGUUAAAUUCCUGGUCAGGGAAUUCAAGCUUUAACUUUUAAUUCAAGCCAAACUGCAGAUGUUUUUAAUGUAUUCGACUUAAACUAUGACUUCAUUUGCAUAAUUGUGUCCCUGAUGGUCUAGUGGCUAGGAUUUGGCGCUUUCACCGCCGCGGCCCGGGUUCAAUUCCCGGUCAGGGAAAUGAGAUUUAGAGUUUGGAAUUCCAGAUCCAACUUUUAAUUCAAGCCAAACUGCAGAUGUUAUGGAAUUCCAGAUCCAACUUUUAAUUCAAGCCAAACUGCAGAUGUUUUUAAUGUAUUCGACUUAAACUAUGACUUCAUUUGCAUAAUUGUGUCCCUGAUGGUCUAGUGGCUAGGAUUUGGCGCUUUCACCGCCGCGGCCCGGGUUCAAUUCCCGGUCAGGGAAAUGAGAUUUAGAGUUUGGAAUUUACAGAUCCAACUUUUAAUUCAAGCCAAACUGCAGAUGUUAUGGAAUUCCAGAUCCAACUUUUAAUUCAAGCCAAACUGCAGAUGUUUUUAAAGUUUUUGACUUAAACUAUGACUUAAUUUGCAUAAUCAUGUCCCUGAUGGUCUAGUGGCUAGGAUUCGGCGCUCUCACCGCCGCGGCCCGGGUUCAACUCCCGGUCAGGGAAAUCAGAUUUAGAUUGUUAAAUUCCAGUUCAGGGAAUUCUAACUCUUAAUUCAAGCCAAACUGCAGAUGUUUUUAAAGUAUUCGACUUAAACUAUGACUUCAUUUGUAGAGUUAUGUCCCUGAUGGUCUAGUGGCUAUGAUUUGGCGCUUUCACCGUCGUGGCCCGGUUCUAUUCCCGGUCAGGAAAAAAGAUACAAAGUUUUAAAUUCCUGGUCAGGGAAUUCCAGCUCUAACUUUAAAUUUAAGCCAAACUGCAGAUGUUUAUAAAGUAAAAGUAAUUUGCAUAAUUGUCUCCCUGAUCCCCGGUCUAGUGGCUAGGAUUUGGCG
ensembl:lncRNA